UCCAGUGUGAUGUAGUGGUCCGAGUUAGACUACGAUUCUGGAGACCAGGGUUCGAUUCCCAGCUUAACCGUUGAAA